UGAGGAAUAUUGGUCAAUGGGCGGAAGCCUGAACCAGCCAUGCCGCGUGCAGGACGACGGCCCUACGGGUUGUAAACUGCUUUUGUGCGGGAAGAGUAACCCCCUCGUGAGGGGGGAUGCCGGUACCGCACGAAUAAGGAUCGGCUAACUCCGUGCCAGCAGCCGCGGUAAUACGGAGGAUCCGAGCGUUAUCCGGAUUUACUGGGUUUAAAGGGUGCGUAGGCGGGCGCCUAAGUCAGCGGUGAAAGGCAGCGGCUCAACCGUUGAACUGCCGUUGAAACUGGGCGCCUUGGAUUCGGUCGAGGUUGGCGGAAUGCGUGGUGUAGCGGUGAAAUGCUUAGAUAUCACGCGGAACGCCGAUUGCGAAGGCAGCUGACCAGGCCUGAAUCGACGCUGAGGCAC
rnacentral:rRNA from 1 species